rnacentral:rRNA from 1 species
UACAGAGGUGGCAAGCGUUGUUCGGAAUUACUGGGCGUAAAGGGCGCGUAGGCGGUUCGUCAAGUCCUGUGUGAAAUCCCCCGGCUCAACUGGGGAACUGCACAGGAAACUAGCGGGCUUGAGUUCGGGAGAGGGAAGCGGAAUUCCGGGUGUAGCGGUGAAAUGCGUAGAUAUCGAGAGGAACACCUGCGGCGAAGGCGGGUUGCUGGGCCGACACUGACGCUGAGGCGCGAAAGCUAGGGGAGCGAACGGG